rnacentral:lncRNA from 1 species
CCCUUGGCGUUGGCUGAAGAAAUUACAGCAGCUUAUUGACCCAGAGAAAUCGCUGCGGAGGGAUGAAGACAUGGACAUCUUUGGGGGACAUUAUUCAACCACCACAUCAGGAAAUGCAGAUCAACCCAACCUUGGACCGGCAUGAAGGAUAAAGCAAUGAAGUGGGCAAUGUCCCUGCCCUUGUGUGUCUUCCAUUCCAGUGGGAGACAAUAAACAAAUUAUCGAAUAAAUGUGUAAGAAGAUGGCAAGUGUUAAGAUGAAAA